UACGGGAGGCAGCAGCAGGGAAUAUUGCACAAUGGGCGCAAGCCUGAUGCAGCCAUGCCGCGUGUAUGAAGAAGGCCUUCGGGUUGUAAAGUACUUUCAGCGGGGAGGAAGGUGUUGUGGUUAAUAACCGCAGCAAUUGACGUUACCCGCAGAAGAAGCACCGGCUAACUCCGUGCCAGCAGCCGCGGUAAU
rnacentral:rRNA from 1 species